ACCCCCCCCACAGAGACCCCCCCCAUUGACCCCCCAGAGAGACCCCCCCAAUAGCCCCCCAAGAGGACCCCCCCCCCAAUAGACCCUAAAGAGACCCCCCCAAUGGACCCCAAAAGAGACCCCCCCUCAUUGGACCCCCCCAUAGAGACCCGCCCAUAGCUUGCCCAUAGCUGCCCCAUAGAUGACCCCAUAGAUACCCUUAAAGCACCCCAUAUCUGUCCCAUAGCUGCCCCCAUAGAUUACCCAUAGCUGCCCCAUUGGCUGCCCCAUAGCUGCCCCAUAAGAUACCCAUAGCUGCCCCAUUAUUGCCCCAUAGAUACCCCAUAGCUGCCCAAGAUACCCCAUAUCUGCCCCCAUAGCUGCCGCCAUAUCUGCCCCAUAUCUACCCAUAGCUGCCCCAUAGAUACCCCAUUAGCUGCCCCAUAUCUGCCCCAAGAAGAUAACCCCAUAUCUUGCCCCUAGAUAACCCCAUAGCUGCCCAUAGCUGGCCCCAUAGAUACCCCCAUAGCUGCCCCAUAGUGCCCCAUAUCUACCCCAUAGCUGCCCCAUAGAUACCCCAUAGCUGCCCCAUAGAUACCCUAUAUCUGCCCUAUAUCUGCCCCAUAGCUGCCCCACAUCCGCCCCAUAGCUCACCUUGCAGAAGCUGCAGUAGCUGCAGAUGGAUCCCGGCCUGUAACGUCCAUCACCACCAUCAUCAUCAUCAUCAUCAUCUUCAUCCUCCUCCGAGCUGCCCCCACCACCAUCAUCAUCAUCAUCAUCCUCCUCCUCGGAGCUCACGGGGUCGCCAUGGUGAUGGUUGCCAUGGUGACGAGCAUCCUGGUUGCCAUGGUGAUGGACAUCAUGGUCGUCAUGGUGAUGGACAUCAUGGUCGUCAUGGGGAUGAGCAUCCUCGUGGUCGUCAUGGUGAUGGACAUCCUGGUUGCCAUGGUGAUGGUUGCCAUGGUGAUGGCCAUCAUGGUCGCCAUGGGGAUGCUCUUCAUCCUGGUUGUCAUGGUGACGGUCGCCAUGGUGAUGGUUGUCAUGGUGAUGGUCGCCAUGAUGAUGGAGAUCCUGGUCGCCAUGGUGAUGCUCUUCAUCCUGGUUGCCAUGGUGAUGGUUGCCAUGGUGAUGGUUGUCAUGGUGAUGCCCAUCCUGGUUGCCAUGGUGAUGAGCAUCCUCCUGGUUGCCAUGGUGACGGUCUCCAUCCUGGUUGCCAUGGUGAUGGUUGCCAUGGUGAUGGUUGCCAUGGAGAUGCUCUUCAUCCUGGUUGCCAUGGUGAUGGACAUCAUGGUCGCCAUGGUGAUGCCCAUCCUGGUUGCCAUGGUGAUGCUCUUUAUGGUUACCAUGGUGACGGUCGCCAUGUUGAUGCCCAUCCUGAUGCUCUCCAUCCUGGCCGCCAUGUUGAUGCUCCUCCUUGUUGCCAUGGUGACCGUCUCCAUGGUGAUGCUCUUCCUGGUUGCCAUGGUGACGCCCCUCCCCCCCGUCACCACGAGGCUCUUCCCUCCUCCCCUCCCCCUCCCCCCCCCCACCCUUUCAUCCACCCCUUCGAUUUUCGCAAUAAUCAUCACCCACUGUUGGCGCGUCUCCAACCCCGCUCCCCCUCCAACCAUAACAUGGGCGAGUCCGCGUAGCACCACCAUUAACCCCCCCCCCAUUUCCAAACCCGGGGGGGGCAGGAGGAGCCCCGAGGAACAGCCAAAGGAUCCGACCCCCCAUAGCCAGAACAGCAUCCAGACGCAAAUUGAGGAAACAGCUUGCUUUCUAGCACCCCCCCACUGUCUCAGGGGGCGGGUGGGGCUGCAUAUUACUAUCUACCCCCCACCGCCCCUAUAG
rnacentral:lncRNA from 1 species